CCUACGGGAGGCAGCAGUGAGGAAUAUUGGUCAAUGGACGAGAGUCUGAACCAGCCAAGUAGCGUGAAGGAUGACUGACCUAUGGGUUGUAAACUUCUUUUAUAUGGGAAUAAAACAGUGCAUGCAUACCUACUUGUAUGUACCAUAUGAAUAAGCAUCGGCUAACUCCGUGCCAGCAGCCGCGGUAAUACGGAGGAUCCGAGCGUUAUCCGGAUUUAUUGGGUUUAAAGGGAGCGUAGGUGGAUUGUUAAGUCAGUUGUGAAAGUUUGCGGCUCAACCGUAAAAUUGCAGUUGAAACUGGAAGUCUUGAGUAGAGUAGAGGUAGGCGGAAUGCGUGGUGUAGCGGUGAAAUGCUUAGAUAUCACGAAGAACUCCGAUUGCGAAGGCAGCUUACUGGGCUGUAACUGACACUGAUGCUCGAAAGUGUGGGGAUCAAACAGGAUUAGAUACCCGGGUAGUC
rnacentral:rRNA from 1 species